UUAACCAUAUGCAACAUGAACUUCCCCCACAUCAUCAUCCUUAAUCUCGGCAAAGGUAAAACCCAAAAUACGGAGCUUGCUGUUGCAUCACAGAAGGUGAGGAAUCUAGUAAAUACUACAGAGGACUGCAUGUAGUAUCCUGUUUGAGGAAGCACAUGUAAAAAAAAAAAAUAAAGCUUGAUUUUUCCUCUUAGUUUCAUUUGAAUAAUCAAGCUCUAAAUUGGAGCACUUAAAUGGAAGUCAAGGAACUUGGAGUGUGAUGGAGGAAGCAGUAAUCAGUUUGAAAAGUUGUUGAAUCUCUGAUGAGCUUUGAAUAUGUCAGAUUAAGUUAUGUCCUAGAAAGGGAGGUUCCCUGAACAACUGCUAGUCACUUUAAAUUAUUCUGCAUUUCAAACAGGAAAUCAUCCAAUUAGACUAACAGCUGCAGAGAUUGGAAUAAGCCUUACAUAUUAGAAAAUUAAAGAAAAUGCAGCUGAGUACUAUGUAAAGCAGCUAAGUUAGGAGACUACUCUCAAGGCCAGCAAGAUCAUUUACUUCCAAGUUGUCCUGGAUUCAGAAGAAAGGAUGUUAACACCAAAAGAAUGAUAGUUCCAAGGAAAAAGAGACCGUUACCUGUGAUUUCAGGCUCAACUUCACUACUGACUCUUCUACCUCUUACCCUGAACAAUGCAGUGGGGUGGGGAAUGGGGGGUCGCAGUCAGUUCAAAUGCUU